CACGUCUAAGUACUCGCCUUGUCUAUAAAGUGAAACCGCGAAUGGCUCAUUAAAUCAGUUAUGGUUCACUAGACAGUACCUCAUCCUACUCGGAUAACUGUGGUAAUUCUAGAGCUAAUACAUGCAACUAGGCCCCGCCCGGCGUGCCGCCUCGCGCGUCACGUCGGAAAGGGCGCCAUUAUCAGCCCAAAACCGACCGGGUCGCUUCCCCUCCUUUCAACGGGUGUGGGAAGCUCCCGUCCUUAUUCCCUUUGACGACUCUGGAUAACCUGUCAGCGGAUCGCUGGGUAACUAGGUCACCGGGGGUUCACUCUCCCGGCCGAUCUACAGCGACCAGUCUUUCAAAUGUCUGCCUUAUCAACUGUCGACGGUAGGUCAGAUGCCUACCGUGGUCGUAACGGGUGACGGGGAAUCAGGGUUCGAUUCCGGAGAGGGAGCCUGAGAAACGGCUACCACAUCCAAGGAAGGCAGCAGGCACGCAAAUUACCCAAUCCCAGCACUGGGAGGUAGUGACGAAAAAUAACGAUACGGGACUCUUAACGAGGCCUCGUAAUCGGAAUGAGUCCGCUCUAAAUCCUUUAACGAGGAUCUAUCGGAGGGCAAGUCUGGUGCCAGCAGCCGCGGUAAUUCCAGCUCCGAUAGCGUAUAUUAAAGUUGCUGCGGUUAAAAAGCUCGUAGUUGGAUUUGGGUUUUCGGGCCGGCGGGCCGCCGCCUUCGAGCGGCGCGUUUCCCGCCGCGCCCCCGGAACCGCACGGUCGCAGAGGCCCCCGCGGUGCUCUUGAGUGAGUGUCCGCGGUCUCGGGUCGCCGAACGUUUACUUUGAAAAAAUUAGAGUGCUCCAGGCAGGCCGGAUAAAGCGUUUUUAAACCCGCGCCUGAAUAGUCACGCAUGGAAUAAUGAAAGAGGACCGGUGGUCCUAUUUUGUUGGUUUUAAGGAUUUUCCGCCGUCAUGAUUAAGAGGGACGGCCGGGGGCAUUCGUACCGCGGCGCGAGAGGUGAAAUUCUAGGACCGUCGCGAGACGAACCGUUGCGAAAGCAUUUGCCAAGAAUGUUUUCCUUAAUCAAGAACGAAAGUCAGAGGUUCGAAGGCGAUCAGAUACCGCCCUAGUUCUGACCGUAAACGAUGCCACCUGACGAUCCGCCAGGGUUACUACCAUGACUCGGCGGGCAGUCCCCGGGAAACCCAAGCCUUCGGGUUCCGGGGGAAGUAUGGUUGCAAAGCUGAAACUUAAAGGAAUUGACGGAAGGGCACCACCNNNAGUGGAGCCUGCGGCUUAAUUUGACUCAACANNNNNNNNNUCACCCGGCCCGGACACCGCGAGGAUUGACAGAUUGAGAGCUC
rnacentral:rRNA from 1 species